CAUGCUGUUGGUCAGUAAUGGGAACCGGAUAACCUCGCAAGUUGCAACCACUUGUAGCCUCGCCUUUGUUGCCUUCAGGAUUUCCUUUUAAAGUUUCUCACAUUAAAAAGGAGAUACUCAACGCCAAGCCAGCUGGAAUCUGCCACUGUCUGUGUCUCUCCUGUGAGCGCAAGAUGCGUUCCCAAUUAAGUGGAGUGAUGGUGAAUGGUGUUUACCAUUCUGGUGUUUGUAUGCAGACAGCUUCAACUCUCUACAGUCAAACUGGAAGAUCUGUCACUCUGAAGUUCCAACAACACCAGGACCUGGAGAAGGAGAGUAUAGAUAUCAUACAGUGGUACUUUGGCCCAGUUAAAAUAAUGAAAUAUGUACCGCAGAGAGACAUUCUUAUAUAUUUCACCCAUGGAUUCAGAGUGGAGUUUAAUAAGGAGACCUUCUCUCUGGAGCUGAUGAAACUGCAGAAGAAUGACAGUGGACUCUACAGAGGAGAGAUCAGUGCUGGAAAGAGAGAAGUUCAGGUUGAGCACACACUAUCUGUUCUGGACAAUCCUCCUCAGCCAGACUCAAGCCUCUAUGCCACAGUGAAGAAGACCUGAGACCACUGCUGCAGAAUGAGGCCACUGCUGCAGUUUGCAUGUGCAUGAAUGAUGAAUCCUGGAGUGCCAGUAAUGUGUCUAGGUUGGAAUUAUUGUCAUCACCGGGGGCCUUGGGCACCAUUAUCACCCAAGACAUCACACAUGCCUGCUCUUAGGAUUCCCCUGUGCGCACACACACACACACACACACACACACACACACACACACACACACACACACACACACACACACACACACACACACACACACACACACACACACACACACACACACACACACACACACGAACGCACGCACGCACGCGCACACGCACGCGCACACACACACACACACACACACACACACACACACACACACACACACACACACACACACACCAAUCUCUAGCUAUGGUGAUUUUUUUUAUUUAAAUAAAAUAAAAUAAAUUACUCUCCUCCGAUUAACCUGAAGUAAUUGUAACCUGAAACUAGAAUGCAUUUCCCGGUGGGAAAGUGCGAAGUGUGCUUGCUCAGACGCGCCACGACAGCGCCCGGUAGGAGACACGACCGCUUGUCCUCAGGUCAAAGCGCCAAAGUUUGGCCAAGACGCGAAGCUGCUUCGAGUUUGGCGGCGUUGCCCUCGAUUGCCGAAUUCUUACACUGACCUGACAAGUUGCCUAGAUUCAUCAGUGGUAUGGCCCAGAGCACCUCCAAUGUAAAACUGUAGAUGUCAUCCCAAAGACGUAAAGAGAUAUGAGCCAAAAUGCAUUUUUGCUAAUUGCGGCGCCCCCUAGUGGCCAAAUUACAACACAUUUACUGAGGCUACUUUGGAUGGUGUCCAAAAUCAUGCCGCCAAAUAUGGUCUCAAUACCUCAAAGCGUCUCCGAGAUUUGACCUCACUUCCUGUUUGGACGCUUCAACAUAGAAUUUGAUUGGCUGUCAAGGGCUAACGCUUUGAUGUAUGAAAAUGAAAUGUACACCUCUAAGGUCUGUAGACCUUGUGUUGAAUUAAGUAUGAGUUGUUCACGUGUAGCCAGCAUGAAACACGUAACCACUGAAGGAAGGAGGGAGCCUAAGGAACUAGGCAUGUUUCUAGAACAAAUACGAGUAGCCUAAUGUUAUAGCUAUUCUGUUAUGCGGGAACAUCCGCAGUUUACUCACUGUUAAAUAAGUUGCAAUGUGUUAUAGCCUCAAAUGGAUGGUAAAAUAAACAGGACGACUCACCUGUUCAAAUGAUGUAAUAGGAUAAAAUUUGGUUUUGAUAUGUCAAAGCAACCAGGCUGUUACUGGUUAACGUUUCUGAAUAUGAAAUCGAUUUUGGAUUGGUUGCAUGUGAUAAAAGCUGUGCCAUUUCCUGUCCAGACAGCAUUCAUAUUCAGAAAUACUGUACACCGGCAACAAAGACACACACACACACACACAAACAACUCUUUCAAACAGAAACGUCAGUCCGUUACAUCUGCCUCUUGUCCACAAACUGCAUGUCGCUGAGUUGACCAGCAACGAAGACUUUCACAUAAACACACACACACACACACACACUUACACACACACAUACACAUCACCCCCUCAAACACAAAUAUCUGUCUGUUAC